rnacentral:rRNA from 1 species
CUCCUACGGGAGGCAGCAGUGGGGAAUAUUGCACAAUGGGGGAAACCCUGAUGCAGCGACGCCGCGUGGAGGAAGAAGGUCUUCGGAUUGUAAACUCCUGUUGUUGAGGAAGAUAAUGACGGUACUCAACAAGGAAGUGACGGCUAACUACGUGCCAGCAGCCGCGGUAAAACGUAGGUCACAAGCGUUGUCCGGAAUUACUGGGUGUAAAGGGAGCGCAGGCGGGAGAACAAGUUGGAAGUGAAAUCCAUGGGCUCAACCCAUGAACUGCUUUCAAAACUGUUUUUCUUGAGUAGUGCAGAGGUAGGCGGAAUUCCCGGUGUAGCGGUGGAAUGCGUAGAUAUCGGGAGGAACACCAGUGGCGAAGGCGGCCUACUGGGCACCAACUGACGCUGAGGCUCGAAAGUGUGGGUAGCAAACAGGAUUAGAUACCCUGGUAGUCCACACCGUAAACGAUGAUUACUAGGUGUUGGAGGAUUGACCCCUUCAGUGCCGCAGUUAACACAAUAAGUAAUCCACCUGGGGAGUACGACCGCAAGGUUGAAACUCAAAGGAAUUGACGGGGGCCCGCACAAGCAGUGGAGUAUGUGGUUUAAUUCGACGCAACGCGAAGAACCUUACCAAGUCUUGACAUCCCUUGACGAUGCUGGAAACAGCAUUUCUCUUCGGAGCAAGGAGACAGGUGGUGCAUGGUUGUCGUCAGCUCGUGUCGUGAGAUGUUGGGUUAAGUCCCGCAACGAGCGCAACCCUUAUGGUCAGUUACUACGCAAGAGGACUCUGGCCAGACUGCCGUUGACAAAACGGAGGAAGGUGGGGAUGACGUCAAAUCAUCAUGCCCUUUAUGACUUGGGCUACACACGUACUACAAUGGCGUUAAACAAAGAGAAGCAAGACCGCGAGGUGGAGCAAAACUCAGAAACAACGUCCCAGUUCGGACUGCAGGCUGCAACUCGCCUGCACGAAGUCGGAAUUGCUAGUAAUCGUGGAUCAUGCAUGCCACGGUGAAUACGUUCCCGGGCCUUGUACACACCGC